GGCGAACGGGUGAGGAACACGUGAGAAACCUGCCUUUCAUUCUGGGAUAACACCGGGAAACCGGUGCUAAUACCGGAUACUCCGUCUUGGCGGCAUCGCCGAGCCGGGAAAAAAUUUUGAUGAAAGAUGGUCUCGCGGCCUAUCAGCUAGUUGGUGAGGUAAUGGCUCACCAAGGCGACGACGGGUAGCCGGCCUGAGAGGGCGACCGGCCACACUGGGACUGAGACACGGCCCAGACUCCUACGGGAGGCAGCAGUGGGGAAUAUUGGGCAAUGGAGGAAACUCUGACCCAGCGACGCCGCGUGAGGGAUGAAGGCCUUCGGGUUGUAAACCUCUUUCAGUAGGGAAGAAGCGAAAGUGACGGUACCUAAAGAAGAAGCACCGGCUAACUAUGUGCCAGCAGCCGCGGUAAUACAUAGGGUGCAAGCGUUGUCCGGAAUUAUUGGGCGUAAAGAGCUCGUAGGUCGUUUGUCGCGUCGAUUGUGAAAAUCUGAGGCUCAACCUCAGACCUGCAGUCGAUACGGGCAAACUAGAGUGUGGUAGGGGAGACUGGAAUUCCUGGUGUAGCGGUGGAAUGCGCAGAUAUCAGGAGGAACACCAAUGGCGAAGGCAGGUCUCUGGGCCAUAACUGACACUGAGGAGCGAAAGUGCGGGGAGCGAACAGGAUU
rnacentral:rRNA from 1 species